GAUGAAGAACGCAGCGAAAUGCGAUACUUGGUGUGAAUUGCAGAAUCCCGUGAACCAUCGAGUCUUUGAACGCAAGUUGCGCCCGAAGCCAUUAGGCCGAGGGCACGUCUGCCUGGGCGUCACACAACGUUGCCCCCCCAGACCUCGACUUCCAAGAGGACGGGGGGCGGAUGCUGGCCUCCCGUGUGCCACGGCUCGCGGUUGGCCUAAAUGCGAGUACUCGGCGACGAGCGCCGCGGCAAUCGGUGGUUGUCUAACCCUCGGUGCCAUGCUGCGCGCGCGAUUCGCUCACUGUUACUCGACGACCCCAAUGCGUCGUAGCCACGACCCUCACAACGCGACCCCAGGUCAGGCGGGGCUACCCGCUGAGUUUAAGCAUAUCAAUAAGCGGAGGA
rnacentral:misc_RNA from 1 species